UUUUCUUCUCUCACUUCUCUGUGUGUGAUGAAAACCCCUCUUCUUCUAGCAAUUAGGGUUUGAGUUCUUGAAGGUUUUUGUUGAAAAUAAUAUAUGUAAACUUAAGUAAUACUAUAGAUACAUACAUUCCUCUAUGGAACACAAUUUAUCCUAUGAUAUGUGUCUAAUGCGAAGUGAUUUUAAAGAAAGCAGUUCAGCUUUAUGAGAUCUUGGUGAUCUCGGUUGGUUCCUUGGUUGAAUAGCAUUCUUUUUUUGUGAUUUCUCUUAAAAGAUGGGUGAUUCUUUGAAGGCAGUAACUGUGAUGUGAGACUUGUGAAAUCUGGUCAGUGAUUUCUUCGUGGAAUCGAGUCUGGCGUGUUGGUUCUCAUAAGAUAAGUCUUAGUGACUUGGUACUUGUAAUAUUUUUGGAACAUUAUUGUAUACUUGUUGCCUGUUUUUGGGGCUUCAUAGCGCAACAGAACUUUAUCCAUUUUAAUGGGUGCUCAAAAGGGGAUUAUGCGUUAGAAGUGUCCCCGAACCUCUUGGGUUUCGACCGAAAAAUCUCUGUGUUGAUUUUAUUUUUCUGCACUUAU
rnacentral:lncRNA from 1 species